rnacentral:rRNA from 1 species
UACGUAGGGUGCAAGCGUUAAUCGGAAUUACUGGGCGUAAAGCGUGCGCAGGCGGUUUUGUAAGUCUGAUGUGAAAUCCCCGGGCUCAACCUGGGAAUUGCGUUGGAGACUGCAAGGCUAGAAUCUGGCAGAGGGGGGUAGAAUUCCACGUGUAGCAGUGAAAUGCGUAGAGAUGUGGAGGAACACCGAUGGCGAAGGCAGCCCCCUGGGUCAAGAUUGACGCUCAUGCACGAAAGCGUGGGGAGCAAACCGG